UACGGAGGAUCCAAGCGUUAUCCGGAUUUAUUGGGUUUAAAGGGUGCGUAGGCGGCCUGUUAAGUCAGGGGUGAAAGACGGUGGCUCAACCAUCGCAGUGCCCUUGAUACUGAUGGGCUUGAUUUCAGUUGAGGUAGGCGGAAUGUGACAAGUAGCGGUGAAAUGCAUAGAUAUGUCACAGAACACCGAUUGCGAAGGCAGCUUACUAAAGUGAUAAUGACGCUGAGGCACGAAAGCGUGGGGAUCAAACAGGAUUAGAAACCCCCGUAGUCC
rnacentral:rRNA from 1 species